UCUCAUGCCCUCCAAUCCCCUUUGCAUACAGCAGAGGGUACCUGGGACUCUUAAUGUGCUUAAUGACAGCUGUGGUCCCUUCUGUUUGUCUGGGAUCCCAUGCCCUCCAACUCCCUUUGCAUUACACACGGGGUACUUGGGACUGUUAAUGGUCUUAAUUGCAGCUACAGUCCCUUCUGUUAGUCUAGGAUCCCAUGUGCUCCAACUCUGUUUGCGUUACUGGGUGGUAUUUGGGACAGAGAGGUGCUUAAUUGCAUCUAUUGUCCCCUCUGUUAGCCUAGGAGCCCAUGGCCUCCAACUUCCUUUGCAUUACACACAGCAUACUUGGAACUGUUAAUGGGCUUAAUUGCAGCCGCAGUCCCUUCUGUUAGUCGGAUCCCGUGCCCUCCAACUCCCUUUGCAUACACCGAAGGGUACCUGGGACUCUUAAUGUGCUUAAUUACAGCUGUGGUCCCUUCUGUUUGUCUAGGAUCCCAUGCCCUCCAACUCCUUUGCAUUACACAGUGGGUAUUUGGGACAGGAAGGUGCUUAAUUGCGUCUGUGGUCCC